rnacentral:misc_RNA from 1 species
AUUGGUAUAAGAAAUUUUCACUUUUUACAUAUAAUACUCUAUGUUAAAAAUUGGCUUACACUGUCAAAUAAGAAUGAAAACUAGUAAGUACGCUUCCUAUGAAACAAAGUACUAAAGCUAUUUUUGUACACAUUUACUAAUUUCAUUCCUCUCUUGGAAUCCAUCGGCUCCACCAUAAGCUUUUCCGUUUAUUGCUAAGAUCAUCCAUACUCUCAUUCAGGGUUUUUAUAAUUUUCCUUUGAAGUCGAAGAGCUGAUGCAAGAGCAUUCCUCUGCGCAUUUGACUUCUUCUUAGGCUCUAUUUCCCUAAGCUGCUGAAGUUGUGCUUCCGUGAAGCCCCCAUCUUGUUCUGUUCCUGAUUUUGCCAUUAGUUGAACAACCCAGUUUGCAGCUUCACUAUAGUCUUGUUGUGUUGCCCGCAAGAAUUGCAGCUUUAGGUUCUGAAUGAAGGACAGGGCUAGAAGACCUUCUCUAUCAAAGUAUGGAUGUGCUAAAGCUGUCUUUGCACUAAUUCUUUGGCGUGCUUUGAAACGUACCAUAGAUGUUAAUAGCUCCCACCCUAUUCCACCAUCCAAAUCUAACAACUCGAAGCCUUUCCUAAGUUCAGGGCCAGCACGAGGCUCUACACUCUGUCUCCACGAAACUAAAUCAUAGUCGCAUCUCUUCAGUUGUCGGUUGAAUUGAAUGAGACUGUUGUCACUGCGUAAUCCUGGGAAUGCCAUUUGCAGGAAUAUGAGACCGACACUGUAGAUGUCAAAUCGAUCUGGGAGAUUCAGCUGCCAGAGUACUGGGGACAGUGCAGUUGCAACUGGAGCAGACGGUGCGGAAGGGGUUUGUGUGCUCAUAAUGUAUUGCUCUGGU